UACGUAGGCAGCGAGCGUUGUUCGGAGUUACUGGGCGUAAAGGGUGUGUAGGCGGUUAUUUAAGUUCGGUGUGAAAUCUCCCGGCUCAACCGGGAGGGUGCGCCGAAUACUGAAUGACUUGGAGUGCGGGAGAGGUGAGUGGAAUUCCUGGUGUAGCGGUGAAAUGCGUAGAUAUCAGGAGGAACACCGGUGGUGUAGACGGCUCACUGGACCGUAACUGACGCUGAGACACGAAAGCGUGGGUAGCAAACAGG
rnacentral:rRNA from 1 species